GAACGACUCUCGGCAACGGAUAUCUCGGCUCUCGCAUCGAUGAAGAACGUAGCGAAAUGCGAUACUUGGUGUGAAUUGCAGAAUCCCGUGAACCAUCGAGUUUUUGAACGCAAGUUGCGCCCGAGGUCGUCAGGCCGAGGGCACGCCUGCCUGGGCGUCAC
rnacentral:rRNA from 1 species